GACGAACGCUGGCGGUGUGCUUAACACAUGCAAGUCGAACGGUAAGGCCCUUUCGGGGGUACACGAGUGGCGAACGGGUGAGUAACACGUGAGUAACCUGCCCUCAUCUCUGGGAUAACAGUCGGAAACGGUUGCUAAUACUGGAUAUGAGCUUGCAAGGCAUCUUGUGGGUUGGAAAGAUUUUUUUUGGUUGGGGAUGGACUCGCGGCCUAUCAGCUUGUUGGUGAGGUAGUGGCUCACCAAGGCUUCGACGGGUAGCCGGCCUCGGAGGGCGACCGGCCACAUUGGGACUGAGAUACGGCCCAAACUCCUACGGGAGGCAGCAGUGGGGAAUAUUGCACAAUGGACGGAAGUCUGAUGCAGCAACGCCGCGUGCGGGAUGACGGCCUUCGGGUUGUAAACCGCUUUCAAUUGUGACGAAGCGUUUUUGUGACGGUAGCAGUAGAAGAAGCACCGGCUAACUACGUG
rnacentral:rRNA from 1 species